GCCGAGCCUCAGUGUCCCGAUCCGGGAAGUGGGCACGCAACGCUGGCCAGAGCCGCGGCCCCUCCGGACCCCAGUCACCUUCCCCGCCCCGGCCGGACACAACGGGACUGCUCUGCUGGAAGAUCCCACCCAGGGGCCCUCGGACAGGGCCGUGCAGUCUCCAUCGUGCCAAACGCACAGCCAUCGUUGUCUUUUUCUGCACCUUGCAGCGAUGAAAACGGCUAUGGUGAAAGACUUCCCUUCUGAGCCAGCGCUUUGUCUCGAGCACUCGUGAGUCCUCGCGCGUGGCCCACUUCAGCCCUGGGCACUCGCUCCGGAGAUGUGGAUGGAAAUCGCAUCUCCUCAGGUGCAGCCACUUCCCCAAGGCCAGGCGAGGGCUGGGCUGAAAGGCAGGCGUUGCCCCAGGGCUUUCUGUCUUUACUCACCUUUUUGUAGCUUUGCACCUAGCCCUGGUGCUCCUGCCUGGGCCGAUGUAACCAGGGUCCUCCUCUCCUGUCCCUGAAGCAGACUUCCCUCAAGUCCCGUCCCGUCCCCUGCUCCUGGCCCCAUAACCGGAAAAUCGAGACAGAAUGGUUUGGAAGCACGAAGGAUCCUGACGGCAGAUAAAGGACUCAGAGAAAACUGGCUGCCGACUUCUCGAGUGUGAGGUGAGACUCUCUUCGUGGAUUGGCCGGGGACCACGCACCCACCAGAAAGCCCCGAGUCUGGGGUCUCCUGGACGUCUGCAGACUUGCUCCACACGCAGCCGUGUUAGUUUCUUUCUGAAUCACUGGUGGACCCUUCGGAGCUCUGCACGUGGAUGUGUCUUUCCUGAGAACAGGACUUUAUCUUGCAUAACCACAGCAGGUUGCCAAACUCCUGAAUUCACGGCGAUAAGAUGCUGGUAUCUCGUCCAUCCGUGUUCCAGUUGUCAGCUGAUCGGAUAAAAUGUUGUGUAGUGUUUCUUCCCCUCCAUUUCAAGACCCAGUCCGGGGGUAGGACCAGGCCUGGCUUUCAGUUCUUUCAGACCGGUGGGUUUCAUGAACUUCUGUGAACUGGAGUGGAAUGGAUAUAAACAUCCUCAGGUGUUUUCCUGCUGGCAGUGGCCCCUAGAAUUCCUGGGGCACCUUCGUUCCCACAUUUCCUGGCUCUGCAAUAGGCCAGCACCCACCCCACACCGCUUUCUGAAGCAAGUUCAUGACCUUGCCACCCCUCCGUACACCCCAGUACUGAGGAUGGACCCACGGUGCUCUACCACUGAGCUGCAGCCUCAGCCCUUUCUUGUUUUUUUUACUUUGAGACAGGGUUUCCUUUUGCAAAGUUGCCCAGGCUGGCUUUGAACUUGGGAUCCUCCUGCCUCAGCCUCCCAAGUAGCUAGGAUUACAAGCACGCACCACCACACCUGCCUGAACUUCCCACUCCUCUUGUGGCUGUAGGAGCCAAAGUGGCCUCAGGAUGGUGAUUGUGGCCAAGCCCUGCCAUCCCCCAGGCACUCUUGAGGGUCCCCGGCCCAUGAGUCCCUCACAGGGUGGCAGCCCCUGCUAGCUGAUAGCCAAGCAGUGUACAAAUCACCCUGAGAGCCCAGCCUCCAGGGGCAGGCACCUCACCAGAGGGAACCAUGCAGGCUGGACUUGGACCUCGGGACAAGACACAGGAUUCUGUGAUAGCAAAGAAUCCAGCUAUCCGCCGUGAGCCGGAAGGCUCAUUCUGCUGAAAGUGGAGGAUCUGAGAGGCCCUCAUUUUUAAUUAGUGAUGAACUGAUUGACAUCUAUCUCCGCUGUUGACGGUAAGCUUGGUGACAUAACCACACUGCCUUCAGAGCGCCUUCUAGGGAAGGAAUCCCUGGCACAAGAGGGCACACACCGGAAUAAGUCAUUACUGCAAGUGGUGUCAUGCAAAUGAAUUGAUCAUUGGGGCCAGUGGACGCAGUAAUGGAACGAUCCUCUCUGAGCCCUGGACCCACUCAAACUUUUCCAGCAGCCUUGGCAGAGGGAAAGGGCAGGGUGAGCGGCUUCCAGGCUGCUGGGCUCUGCCAGCUGUGGCCUCAGUGCUGUUCAGAGGGGCUGUGCAGGUCACAAAGCCUGCCCCAAUUGUGCGUGGUCAUGUGAGCAUCCCUCACCCCUCCAGAGCUGGAACUAGCCAUGCUCACUAAGGAUGCCCAGCCAUGUGGGGCAGGGGGGCGCUGUCCCGGAGCACGAGGAGCCACCUGCACAUCCCUGCGCCCAGCUGGCUGUGUGCGGGAUGCUCUGGACCCUUGAGCCCUCUAAGCUCGAGACAGAUGUCCAGGGUACCCCCGAGUCUAGGACCCGGGUGGCAUUCAGAGAGGACUCGGGUGGCAGUGCCCCACAGACCUGAAGCAUCCAGCCUGGCAAGUAAGGCAAAGGGGCCUGAAGAAAGGGCCCAGGGAGGGCCAUGCACUUCAGACGAAGGCCAAGAGUGGCCUGGGCUCCUUGGGGAGCAGCUCAGGAGCAGCUCGGCUCAGUUGGAGGCUGAAGAUUCAUAAAGAUCGGGCAGGAGAGGGAGGAAGGAGCGUAGUUUUCAAGCUCAGGUAUUUAUACUUCACCUCAAGGUGCUGGGUGUGAGUGCGAGGUGAGGUUCCCGGCCAGUCCCGCCCUCCCUAUCGGCCCCUAACUCUCCUGGCUUUCCCAUCCCAGCAGCGAGCACUCUGUCCGGGACUCACUGGCCCAGGGAUGCCAGCUGCACAAGUAGGUCGGCAGGUGGCUGGAAAAUGAGCCAACCCAGAUGGCCGUACUCGGGACCCUGAAUUGAAGUCCUGGAGGGGUCUGUACAAAGGAGACAAGUGAGGCCCGGAGAGGUGGGCCAGUGUGAGCAGGUGUGGGAAGAGGAGGCCAGAUGGAUGCUGUCCGCCUCUUCUCCCUGGCCUGGCCUGGCCUGGCCUGGUUAGUGCCGCUGUCCUCUGGAAUUCCCAUGAAUGUCCACAUUCCUUGAGAUGCACCAGUGUUAGCUAUCAUUUUCCUUGAAUCAGAAUGCUUGACUCAUAGCUGGGACCAAAGUUUCUUUACAACCAAAACGGGCUCAACUAACGGUGCUUCCUCCAUUUGGUUUAUUAAAGCAUAAUUUGUUCUGGAAGGCGCACAGUUGUGUGAUGCGGAGCCCUGUUGGCCCCAGAAGGUUGCUUCCACCUGCUUUGGGUCGGUCACCUGCCUUCCCCAGUGCCAUGGACUGUUCUCAUCUGUGGAGCCACCCUGCCUUGGAGCCAGCCUACCAUGGACUGAGACCUCUACAUCUACACACUGAGCCAAAAUAAAGCUCUCCUCCCCUAAGUUGUGUCACAAUGAUGGGAAAGUGACUUGGACAGCGCCCAUGGCCACGAGAUGAUGUGACCUGUCUGCCACUGUCACUGCCUUCCUUCCUAAGGGAGCUGCAACAUCAUGGCAAUGAUCUGACCGCGGGCCCAGGACUCAGGCUGCCUGCAUUCAGGGGCAGCUUUGUGUUUCCAGCUCAUCAGCCCUGCAUUCAUCACUUCACUAACUUCUCUCCAUGCUUUGCCUCCUGCCUGGAACAGUGCUCGGUAAACAUUGGCUACAUGGACUCCUGGUUCUGUCUCCAGUCCUCAGUGCUCCUGUAUCAGCCACAGUACUGGUUCCGCUGGCCUGUUCUCAGUUGCCCAUACUCGGUGAGGUAGAAUGUAGGAAGCCUUAAUUAUGAAUUCGGAGACAAGCCCUGCCACCCUUGGAGGAGGACAUGGAAGGCAGCUAUGCUCACCACUAUACCACCAACGCGAGGAGGACAUGGGAUACGCAAUCUAUUUGCUUUACAUAAGGUGGAGAAGGAAAGAUGCCCACUUAACAUUUUUCUCCAAGGGCUGUGGUUCCCGUGUUGUCCCUUCCUUGGCUGUUCGGAGUUGAAUGCCUCCUCUCCACCACCUUUGCCCCGGGCCGCCAUUGUUCCUCUAAGCUUCUCUCCUUGCUUUGGUUUUAUGUAGAUUUUGUAUUGUAGUUGAUCUUUCAUGGGCAGAGAGCAAUGAAUUAAAGUCUCAUAUUUCUGAUGUGUUUCUGUUCGUUCUCCUAAUAGCUCCCAUGGUUGCUGCUUUAUGAAUUUUGAUGCUGUGUUAUUUGG
ensembl:lncRNA